GACGAACGCUGGCGGCGUGCCUAACACAUGCAAGUCGAACGGAACUAUUAAUGAGCUUGCUUAGAGAUAGUUUAGUGGCGGACGGGUGAGUAACGCGUGAGUAACCUGCCUUUCAGAGGGGGAUAACGUCUGGAAACGGACGCUAAUACCGCAUGACAUUUCGGAGUCGCCUGGCUUUGAAAUCAAAGGAGCAAUCCGCUGAAAGAUGGACUCGCGUCCGAUUAGCUAGUUGGUGAGAUAAAAGCCCACCAAGGCGACGAUCGGUAGCCGGACUGAGAGGUUGAACGGCCACAUUGGGACUGAGACACGGCCCAGACUCCUACGGGAGGCAGCAGUGGGGGAUAUUGCACAAUGGAGGAAACUCUGAUGCAGCAACGCCGGCGUGAGGGAAGAAGGUUUUCGGAUUGUAAACCUCUGUCCUUGGUGAAGAAAGAAAUGACGGUAGCCCAAGGAGGAAGCUCCGGCUAACUACGUUGCCAGCCAGCCGCGGUAAUACGUAGGGAGCCAAGCGUUGUCCGGAUUUACUGGGUGUAAAGGGUGCGUAGGCGGCUCUGCAAGUCAGGCGUGAAAACCAUGGGCUUAACCCAUGGACUGCGUUUGAAACUGUGGGGCUUGAGUGAAGUAGAGGUAGGCGGAAUUCCCGGUGUAGCGGUGAAAUGCGUAGAGAUCGGGAGGAA
rnacentral:rRNA from 1 species